GUUUGCGUGUACGAGUUGGUUUAAGGUGCCAUCCUGCUAAGGUGGUGUGCGAGUGAUUGCACCGAUGGUUCGAAUCCAUCCGCAAACG
rnacentral:tRNA from 1 species